AGAGUUUGUAUCAUGGCUCAGGAUGAACGCUAGCUACAGGCUUAACACAUGCAAGUCGAGGGGCAGCAUGGUCUUAGCUUGCUAAGGCCGAUGGCGACCGGCGCACGGGUGAGUAACGCGUAUCCAAUCUACCCAUGGCUCAGGGAUAGCCUUUCGAAAGAAAGAUUAAUACCUGAUGGUUUCGCUAUUCCGCAUGGUUUGGCGAAUAAAGAUUUAUCGGCGAUGGAUGAGGAUGCGACUGAUUAGCUAGUUGGCGGGGUAACGGCCCACCAAGGCGACGAUCAGUAGGGGUUCUGAGAGGAAGGUCCCCCACAUUGGAACUGAGACACGGUCCAAACUCC
rnacentral:rRNA from 1 species